CCGGAAUUGGGUUGAAGAGCCCGGACACCUGGCUUCUGCGUAACGGCAGUACUGACGGAGGGAGGAGUGCGCUUUCUGGUGGUGCCCGGGACGGGGGAAUGAAUUCUCAGCCGAAACUUGAGCACUUAAACGCACCUGAGCACUCUUACCAGGAGGGAUCGUGGGACGGGCUGAACCCACAUCCGGGAGGAUUCCUAGUUAGCGGCGUAUCGGGGAGUCGUCCACUCAGGAUCCCGCUCUCAGAGCACGGCUCCUUGUGAAGAGUACUCUGGACUGUCUGCUUCCCGGCUUUUAACUACAGUUCUUAAGAGACCUCUGGGCAUUUCCCAGUUUGGAGCGAGGACUGCUGCAGACGGGUUAACUUUGGGGACUGACCCUUCCCCUGGCUGGGGGGCUACAUUUCCCAGAAGCCUCCUCGGUCCACAGCCCUUCCCCCACCCAACAGCAGCCACCUUAUUGCUGCUUGGACCUGUCGGUGCGCCGAGGUCCUUAGAAGAUGCUAGGAGUCCAGAAGAGGAGAGAAAAGCUGCUGUACAUCACAAGGCAUGGCAGAGGUAAGUUGUAUUUGGCACUCUCUUCUUGGAAAGGGUUUCUUGGUUUACAGAACAAUAUCCUAUUUCAGGAUUCUAUCCAAAAAAUUUACAGUAGUGAUUUGAAGAAAAAAAAAGGGUAAGCGAGAAGGAAACCAAAUUUAUGGAGCAGUUUUCCUAAACCAGGUAAGAGUCUAACCCAGGACUGUCUGUUUUGCAUACAUUGUCUCAUCCAUCUAGAAUUUCCAUUUCCCUGAAUUUUAUCCAUUCCCAGAAUAGUUGUGACAGAUGUGCCUCUCUGCUUUGGCAGAGAAGUUAAAGAACAAAAUGAGGUUACUCACUUCAGUCUCACUAAUUUCUUUGUUGUCCGCUUCAGGGUCACAUGCUUCCAAAUUUCUAACAGCCUGAAGUCCUGCCUGCCUGCAUCAGCUCUAUGUACUUUUUUCUCCAAGAUAGAAAUAACCUAAUUGCUCUCUUUCUAAUGAUUAAAGUAAAAUAGGGUUCUUAAAAACAUUUCAAAACUUGAGAACAUUUCAGAAAGUUUGUCAACCAUGGUCCCACCAUGUAGAGAUAGAAUUA
rnacentral:lncRNA from 1 species